GAUUACUCCCUGUGGAGAAUGCUGUGAGCCUGCAAUACUGAUUUAACCUGACAUCCCAGAAGGCCUGGUCCCUGAGAGCCUGGACGCAAGCAAAUACUGAAAAGCUGUGCCAUUACAAGAGCCCUGAAGACAGGCAAGGAUGCAGAGAGACUCUGAGCAGGACAAGAGGAGAGGAAGCAGCCCUGUUGUGUUGGGAUUGCCAUCUGGUUCUCAGAGAAGGAAAGGCUCCUUUGGGUCUUGGUUCUAUAGAGCAAAAGAUGAAUUGGCCCAAAGUGUGAAGAAGACAAACUGAUGCAAAUGAUCAUAAGGAAUGGAAUUCCUGAUAUCUACCAAUCAAGAAAACAAAAAUAUAGGAUUUCAAGAAAGCAAAUGUCAUUAUUCAGAGAACUGAGAGGCAAGUUAGGCUGAUAGAGAAAAGGGGUUCAGAAGGAAGUUCUGUGAAACGCUGUCUCGAAGAGAGAAACACUUUAUUUUCAGAGAAACAGAUACAGGAAGUGUGGUGAGAAACCACUUGUGCUAACUCAGGAGUUUUUCAGUGACCUGAAAAUUAUUUGGUGUAGAAAGUAGGUCAAGUUACUAAAAAGGUAUGUGUAAGUCUAGCACAAACCUACAAGGGCAAAAUUGGAAAGGACAAUGCAUAGGAAAAAAAAAACAAUUGACACAAAAUGAAACAAGAAGCAGUAGGAAAAAUAUGUGGAAGGACAUUUGCUAAAAUGUGCAGGCAAGAAAGGAAAGAGGCUCACUUCUAAGGAAAGAGGAGUUUAAUGUUAUGUGUAGAGAGGAAACAAGGACUUCUGAGCAGGGAAGAAUUUGGUAGAUAUUAUGAUAUUGGCUCCAUCUUCUAACUUUACUUACCAGGGGAGUCUCAUAACCAAAUUAAGGAAGUACUCUUAUUGAAACUCCUGUGAAAUUGUAAAGCUGGCUGGAAAUCCAUAUUUCUACAGAGAAUGAUAAGUAAAUUCAUGCUAGGAUUUCUCCAUAGUUCAGUAUUAUACAAUAUUUAAGGGCUUGGACAUGAAGCAAUGCAACUCUUGAACAGAACAUAACUGCAGUACAGGGCUGGACUUCAAAAAGAUAUUGAAAAACUGAAAUGAUCUGAAAUAAGUAGUACAAUAAGUAGGUAGUAAAACUCACUGUACCAACACAAGAUGAGAGAAGCAGAACAAAGCACCUGUGUAUUAGUAAAGACUGUGGGGUACGCAGGAGGCACAUGACCUCUGUCAGUGAUGCUGAGCUGCUGAGGGCACUCAGAUUUGCAGCAGGAUGCUGAAACAGGAUUUGUGUGGAAGAUGUGUUAAGUAAUCCUUUUGCCCUGUUUAUCACUGGCAACAUCUCAGCUCUGCUUGAAGAAACACAGGGUCAAUUUGCAGAGCAGAAGCAGCAAGAUACAAAAUUGUUCUGCAGGCCAGGAAAAUAAAUUGUCCUAAAAAGUGCCUGAACAGCAUAUUUAGGUUAAAUAACACCAGUUUCAAGCUGUGGGAAUGCCAGAGGCUGUCUGCCCUUGGAGGCAGGUUGAGCAGUGCUGGGAAGGUAUGCUGAGUCUGCCCUGGGGCAGGGGGCAAGGUGUCCUGUGGGUCACAUUCCAUACUUCCAUGAUAGCUUAAAUCCUCCCUGAAUAGAAAGAUGUAGCAGAGAGGUGUCACAGAACUGACAUUUUCCCUGUUAAAAUCAUAACUGCAUCUGUAAGAGAAGUGACCAGAAUACCUAAUGACUCAUCCUGAUAAAAAUAUCUUAAGAAGCAGAAAAAUGAGAGCACUUAACAUCAACUAAUGCUGCCUUGAGGGGCAUAGGAACAGAUGUUUUUUGCAAAAGGGCUAGUUCUUGAAAACUAGCCUAUUUCAGACAUAAACAAUGCAUCUAUUACUCUGAUGUUUCAAAGACCAGAAACCAUUUAUCUGCGUAUGCUUUUAAACUGAAAGUAUUGGCUCAACAGUGUUCAUUCCAAUUAAAUAUAGGCAAUAAUUAGAAAAGACAGUGAUCUAUCAAGGCAUCAGCUUGAUGAGGUCUUUAAAUCUAGUGAGUGGGUACCCUAACUCUGCCACAUCAAACAAACCCCAGAACAGCCCCAUGGAAAAGCCUGAGAAAACUCAAAUGCUGAGCCAUGCCUGUCUGACCUUGGACUAGAUGGGAUGGGAAAGCACCAGUAACAAGCUGGUUGAUUUGUUUAUACUUUGGUCUUGAAUGAAAUUAUAUUUGGCUCUAUCAGAGCAAGAUUUUUAUCUGAUGUUUUAUUGUGUGAGGGGAAAAAAAGUCCCCUCUGCCUCUUUCUGGUUAGGUGGUGUGUAUGUACUACCACUUCAAUGCUAACAGGAAUAUUUUGAUUUCUUUCUCUAAUGAAGACCCACCGAAGUGGAGGGAAGGCAAGGGACUGAAUGAUUGCUAUCAGCAGACUGAGGCUGAAAAUGUGUCUUGGACUUAAGUGUGUGUGUGAGCAGCUUCUGUUAAAAAAAUGUUUUGCUGAGGUUAAGACAAGCUGAGAAAGGCAGAUGGAAGUUAUGUCCUUGCCUCAGAACAGCAUUUUGCUACAGGCAAGUUUUAUUAUCAUGAUUAUACCAAAGCAAAACACAAUUGCUUAUUUAGUCACAGCAACUCAAACAACUUCUUAUUAGGAAAUCAUCAGGAGAAUGGCUCUAGGAGGUGAAAGCUACCAUCUUCACCAUCCAUUCCCAUUCUCUGUUUCCUCAUGUCAGCUGUGUAGUUGGAUAGUUUCAAAGGUAUCUCUUUAACUAUACCUGCCACAAGUCCAGGUCUUAUAAAAAGCAUGGCUUGUGAGGUUAUGCAGAGCAAAUAUUCCCAUUGAUUUCAGUGGGCAGUGCACAAGGAUUUAAUUUCUCAGCUGUGGCAAGAUGCUGGCAGCCUUCUGGGAGGCAGUGGGGGCUCAGGGUGCAUGGGGUGGGCAGUGUGGUACACUGGAUGGGCAGCACAGGAUCGGCUGCUCCCUCCAAGGCUUACGUUCUGAGAGAGAUGGGCAGAACAUAGGCAGCCAAAUGUAUGGGCUGGGAGCCCUGCCUCAUGUGGGGGCUGCAUGACAGCGGGCCUUCUGGCUUGUGGGUCUGUGUUAUGGAGAUAAACGCCACAGCAGGAAGGGCUUCAACCAGAUCUGCAGUGGAAAUUUCCUUUGUGCUUGCAGAAGCAUGUGUGUGUGCCUAACAAGGUUAUCGGCUUCCCAGGGUGGCUGUGUAUGUAUCUGCACUCUAAAUAAAUUUAGUGGAAGUAUAACUGUGCCCUAAAAUACAAGAAAACAUUUGCUGAUCAUCAUGCAAAUUGUAGGGGCUUACGACAGCAGGUUUCUUAAGGAUUACUUGCUCCUGGAUCACUGCUGUGCUGCCAGCAUCGCACCCAGCUGGGCCUUUUCUCCAGCCAGGCAGCUGGCAGGGGAGCCUGGGGCAGUGGCCAGUCCUCCCUGGGGCCCUCUGUGCCUUUUGUGAGGACAAGAAGCACUGAGCCAAGAAAGUUGGGAUAUCUACUGCAGCUUAUAGUAGUCAUGUAUAAAUUAUUAAUAUAAAUCGCAUCAGGCAGCAGAACUUUGUGCAUAUGAAAUUGCCUCAUACUUACAUUUGAAACAUUCUUGUUUUCUCAAGCAUGAAAGUCCAUCUUUAAUGGCCUAUUAGUGUUUAGUUAAUGCUACAUUAGCUGAUUUUUAAUGUACUGCUCUAGAAACAAAGAGAUCACAAUCCAGACAUUACCUCAAGAAGAAAUGCAAAAGGAAUCAAACAUGAGAAAGAGGUGCAGACUUUUUCAGUUUCAUUGGCAUUUUUCUCACCAGAGCAAGUUCAUUAGGAGCACAGCCUAUAAAAUAAUGCUCAGUGCACUGCAAAAGAUCAUGUCAAGGGCAAUUUUGUAGCAUGAUAGCAAGGGGAUUAAAGCAAUCAUUCACAUGAAGAAUAACAAGUGUUCAACAUCUGAUCACCUACGUAGUGUCUGAAAAUGUUCCUUUGAAACACCACGUCAACGUUCUUCCCCCUUUUGUAAUAAGUUUGCCCACUUAGGUGGCAAAAAGAAUUUUAAUGAAAUGCUAAUACAGUAGCUAUAGCUUUAUUUGCAAUUUUACAUAAAACUGCACCCUGCUGAGCUGCCCACUCUGUGCUGCCAGCCCCAGGAGUACAGCAAGGUGAUGGGUCCGUGAACACCUCCACAGCAAAGCAUCCACAGGAUGGAGGCAUCCGGCCAGUGACCAGCCAGACUGAGAAAUCAGCAUUCACUGAAAGUGAGAUUUUUUGCUGUCAUACUGAAAAAUACCAGGGCUAAACAGUGUACCUGAAGGUACUCUUUACUCCUUACUUGCAUGCUUUAUUCUUUAUUUACACAAUAAGCUAUAAGCGUAUGAUUUUCAGACAUCUAAGUGUAUUACCUCUUAGUAUUUGCUUAUCUGCAUAAAGAUGCUUGAUUUCUCCUUGUCUAAAUGUUUUCAAUGUGUCUUAAAUGAUUUACACUAAAACACUGUCAGUGCUUGUGAAAGAUAGGAUUUCUGUCACUUUAUUAUAGCCACUUAGAGUUUAGCACUGUGUCUGUUCUUGUAGUCCAGCUUCUCUUUAUUGUCAGUGGAGAGACAGAAGUCUCUAGAGAGCAGCUCAUUUGAUUUGUCUCAGCUGCCUUCUUUAGACUGGGGUGAAUCACUUAGUCACGGGAGCUGACAUCUUCCUGCUUUGAUUGUAGAGACUGCUGCCUCCUGCCUUUAUUCCCAGUGCCCAGCUUUGAGAUCACAGAAGUGUGUGGAGAUGAAUCUCAUCUCUUCCUGCUGUAAUGGCAUUCUUCUACAGAAACGAGACUUCUUACAGGACUUUUGCCUGGCAAUAGGACUUCAGGACUAACUUCAUCCUGUUCAAGGCUGUAAUGUAAGGCUUAUGUACUGCUUGAUAUUUAUUCACACCUUCUGAAUAACACUGUAGGAGCACUUCAGAGGUGCAAAGGUUCCAGGCAUAGCCUUUGGGCUUUCACUGGCUGAUUGCUGUGGUUUAGCUUGGCAGAGAGCUCAGCAUCACACAGCCAUUUUCUCAUUCCCACUCCCAAUGGAAUGGAAUGGAGAAGGGAAUUGGUGGGGAAAAAAAAAAUAAAUCUUGUGGGUUGAGAUAAACACAACAGGAAAAAAACACACACACACACA